GCUUUACAAAAGCACGCACUAGUGCUUCAAUGUAUAAUAAAACUUGCUAAUAUAAGCUUGAAAAUUGAAAUACUUAAUUGCUUCCCCUAUUAUCUCCUUAAAUCCUUAGCUUCUCCCUUCUCAGCAAAAUAUUUCUGCCAAUACUACUAAACUUCAAACAAGUGUUCAAUCUAAAAGCUCCUAACACUAUCCGAGAGAAGAUUAGAUAGGGAUGGCAAGAUACUAUGUUUUGGGGGAUGAUGGUAGCCAUGCCGCCGCCGCCGCCGCCGCAGGCAGUAGUUUUGGUUUAAUGAUGAUGUUUUGCGCGGUUGUUAUGUCUGCCAUAAUCAUAAUUCCUAUGCUUAUCUUUGCUUGUGGAGACUCUAACGACGCCGAUGAUGGCAACGCAGCAGGACAUUCCGGCGGAGCAGGCGCGAUUGCAGCCACGGCCGGAUCAGCUUCUAUUGUUGGAGGCGGCGGCGGCGGUUGUUAAAUAUG